AACCAUUUUAAGGCUGCAUUUGUACAUUUAGAUUUUUAAGCUUUUUUGGACACUGGACUGGGUUGAGAACUAUGUUGUGUUAAUUUUCAUUUACUCGUUUGCUUGCAGUUUGUGCCCCUGGCCGCCAGCUCUGCCUCUGGCGCAGAGGGCUGCAGUACAAUGCCUUGGGUGUGCGGUACAAACCGGCGUUGCACGCGGUGCCGGCCGCGUCCCGCUGCGUCUCCCCUGGCGCCCACCGG
rnacentral:lncRNA from 1 species